rnacentral:rRNA from 1 species
UGGGGAAUAUUGCACAAUGGGGGAAACCCUGAUGCAGCGACGCCGCGUGAGUGAAGAAGUAUUUCGGUAUGUAAAGCUCUAUCAGCAGGGAAGAAGAAGGACGGUACCUGAGUAAGAAGCCCCGGCUAACUACGUGCCAGCAGCCGCGGUAAUACGUAGGGGGCAAGCGUUAUCCGGAUUUACUGGGUGUAAAGGGAGCGUAGACGGCGAAGAAAGUCUGAAGUGAAAGCCCGCGGCUCAACCGCGGAAUGGCUUUGGAAACUUUUUUGCUGGAGUACCGGAGAGGUAAGCGGAAUUCCUAGUGUAGCGGUGAAAUGCGUAGAUAUUAGGAGGAACACCAGUGGCGAAGGCGGCUUACUGGACGGUAACUGACGUUGAGGCUCGAAAGCGUGGGGAGCAAACAGG